UACGUAGGGGGCUAGCGUUGUCCGGAAUCAUUGGGCGUAAAGAGCGUGUAGGCGGUCCGGUAAGUCCGCUGUGAAAGUCGGGGGCUCAACCCUCGAAUGCCGGUGGAUACUGUCGGGCUAGAGUGCGGAAGAGGCGAGUGGAAUUCCUGGUGUAGCGGUGAAAUGCGCAGAUAUCAGGAGGAACACCAAUUGCGAAGGCAGCUCGCUGGGACGUUACUGACGCUGAGGCGCGAAAGCUAGGGGAGCAAACAGG
rnacentral:rRNA from 1 species